ACUGCUCCGUUGUCGUUUACAGAAAGGUGGCUCGCCUGAACGCAGUUGGGGCGCAGAUCUCAAAUGCGAGAAGCCAGAAGCACCCGUGAGUACUAUUGAGCAUGCUCUUCAGCUGGAGAUUGCACAGCGAACUUAAAGCGGAUGUUUUCGUUUCACAUUUUUCUCCACCUCACUCCCUGCCCACCUCGCUCCCCAAGAAUUGGGGUCAACCUGCUCUGAGGACUGUGAAUGAUGUAAACAGUGAGCGCCAUCGAUGAAUUGUCAGAGCGCCAAGAAAAGCCCAUGGCGGGACAUCCUCGCGGAGGUUACCGUUCAGCAGAACCUGAUAGAAUCCCUUUUACACGCAGCGCCAGAAUCGAGAGAUAACAGGCGAGACACAUCAAUCGGUUUCUCUGCGCCUUCUCCAAACGUCUGCGCCCCCCGCUGGUCGAGCAGGCGAGCCUCUGCGCGAUCAACCGGCACCAGAGCAAUCAUUUCUCCUAGUCCAGAGCGACAAAAAGCGAGAGCCUUGCGCGACAACGGGUCACCGCUAGCUAACGUCUGCCAAAGUGGGCCCGCCAACAAGGUGGGAGCCAGCAUCGGGAGCCACUCGCAGUCGACAGCAAGAGAGACCUCCAAGGUGGUCGAGGCCCUUGUUGAAGCGCUCUCCACCUCAUCCUGGUCUAGCGAUGGUGACGGGUCGGCCACGCAGGUUGGACAGGGUUUUACGUCGACACGAGGUGCUGCCGCUUCGAGUUCCAAGGUGCACUCGCGAAGUGAGUCGCCUGGAGGCACGAUCGCGUCGGACGUAGGACAGCACCAUCGGGAGACGGCCUACACUGCACAUUUUUUCCUCAAGGCCACACAUAUCGUUGCUAGUGAGUUUGAGGGGCGCCAGAGCAUCGUCUUUGGCGAGUUUACCGAGGUCACCGAACUUGUGUCACGAUUUGUUUGCCGUGUGACAAUGACAUCGCCUCCUCUGUGAUAUAGUUGCGCGAAUGCAGCUGGCGCCUGUGGCCAGUGUGGAGAUGCUGUCUGCACCGCUCACAGCCGCAGGAGAGAGAGGAAUGCAACAGCAGCAGCAAGUGUCGCUCUUGAGUGAAGGGCAAAGGCGAUGCACUGGCACGGAUGGCGCGACCGUGGUGCACGCGCAAAGGAAGAGAGACGACCUCAACCCCCAUCCAAAAUGCACACAAACAGAUAUAAGAUGAGACCCUCUACGCUGCUCAGCACACGGUGACCACGCACAAGAAGGAGUGACGCCAUUCCUCGUAUGAGAGAUAACGGGGAGCUCUUCGUAAGGUACGGCGAUGUGAUCAUGGAUUAUCGAGAGUGUUCGACAACGUUCUUCACACGCUACGGCCUCGUCUAUCGCUGCACCUUCUGCUCUGUCCCUCCUAAUUGUUCUGUUCUUCCCCUUUCCCGGUUGUGCCAGUCUUCAUAUAUGUCUCUCCCUCCUAUCCUUCCUUUUUCUCGUCUAUUUAUUAUGUAG
rnacentral:misc_RNA from 1 species